rnacentral:rRNA from 1 species
AUUGAACGCUGGCGGCAUGCCUUACACAUGCAAGUCGAACGGUAACGCGGGGCAACCUGGCGACGAGUGGCGAACGGGUGAGUAAUGCAUCGGAACGUGCCCAGUAGUGGGGGAUAGCCCGGCGAAAGCCGGAUUAAUACCGCAUACGACCUACGGGUGAAAGCGGGGGACUCGCAAGGGCCUCGCGCUAUUGGAGCGGCCGAUGUCAGAUUAGCUAGUUGGUGGGGUAAAGGCCUACCAAGGCGACGAUCUGUAGCUGGUCUGAGAGGACGACCAGCCACACUGGGACUGAGACACGGCCCAGACUCCUACGGGAGGCAGCAGUGGGGAAUUUUGGACAAUGGGCGCAAGCCUGAUCCAGCCAUGCCGCGUGCGGGAAGAAGGCCUUCGGGUUGUAAACCGCUUUUGUCAGGGAAGAAACGCUCUGGGUUAAUACCUCGGGGUAAUGACGGUACCUGAAGAAUAAGCACCGGCUAACUACGUGCCAGCAGCCGCAGUAAUAC